UACGAAGGGGGCUAGCGUUGCUCGGAAUUACUGGGCGUAAAGCGCACGUAGGCGGCUUUCUAAGUCGGGGGUGAAAUCCUGGAGCUCAACUCCAGAACUGCCUUCGAUACUGGAAAGCUCGAGUCCGGGAGAGGUGAGUGGAACUGCGAGUGUAGAGGUGAAAUUCGUAGAUAUUCGCAAGAACACGAGUGGCGAAGGCGGCUCACUGGCCCGGUACUGACGCUGAGGUGCGAAAGCGUGGGGAGCAAACAGG
rnacentral:rRNA from 1 species